rnacentral:piRNA from 1 species
UCACUUGUAUUUUGAUUUCUCCAUGGCUG